UUCACCAUUUUGAACAGUCUUAAUUUUCUAUACAGUAGGCUAACAUCUGUAAUUGCUAAAAAUUAAGCCACUUGCUAUUGAUUUUUGAAAUCCCUUUUUCACAUUUUUUUAAUUCUAAGAUCCUUUUUGAAAAGAAAGAAAGGGAGAAAAUCACAGCACACCUCAGACCUCUUUUGAGUUAAAGAUUAAUCAUGUAAUUCAAACCAUGGCGCAGCAUAAAGAUGGAAAGGUAAUUGGUCAUGUUAAAAGCAGUUUGCCAUGGAAAAUGUUUUGUUUCU